rfam:Salmo salar isolate Sally breed double haploid chromosome ssa13, whole genome shotgun sequence.
CCGGGUUGAGGUAGUAGGUUGUAUGGUUUAGAAUGACACCCUAGGAGUUAACUGUACAACCUUCUAGCUUUCCUUG